UACGUAGGGACCGAGCGUUGUCCGGAAUCAUUGGGCGUAAAGAGCGUGUAGGCGGCCACUUAAGUCCUGCGUGAAAUCUUGCGGCUCAACCGCAAGCGGUCGUGGGAAACUGGGUGGCUAGAGUGCGGGAGAGGAGAGUGGAAUGCCCGGUGUAGUGGUGAAAUGCGCAGAUAUCGGGAAGAACACCCGUGGCGAAGGCGGCUCUCUGGGACGGUACUGACGCUGAGACGCGAAAGCGUGGGGAGCGAACAGG
rnacentral:rRNA from 1 species